AUGAUAACAUGGGUUAAUCCUGAUGCUAGCUUUUUCCUUUUGUUGAAUACAGGUUUCCAUGGAUGGGGCAACAAUAUUAAUGACCUUCACGUAAAGAAAAUUAUAACAAAGUCAAGUAUCCUUGGCCAAGACAGUGUUGAUCACAUCUCCCAUUGCCAAAUCUCAAAACUCAUGAGGCACGGUGGAAGAAAUAUGGGCAGUCCUAUGACUAAGUUCCAACUUGGCAGUCACAUAGGAUUCUUUUUGUAUGAGGAAAUAAAGUGUAAUGGUUUGUAUGAGGAAAUAUAG